rnacentral:rRNA from 1 species
AACGAACGCUGGCGGCAGGCCUAACACAUGCAAGUCGAGCGAGGACUUCGGUUCUAGCGGCGGACGGGUGAGUAACGCGUGGGAAUGUGCCCUUCUCUACGGAAUAGCCCUGGGAAACUGGGAGUAAUACCGUAUACGCCCUAUUGGGGAAAGAUUUAUCGGAGAAGGAUCAGCCCGCGUUGGAUUAGGUAGUUGGUGGGGUAAUGGCCUACCAAGCCGACGAUCCCUAGCUGGUUUGAGAGGAUGCUCAGCCACACUGGGACUGAGACACGGCCCAGACUCGUACGGGAGGCAGCAGUGGGGAAUCUUAGACGAUGGGGGCAAACGUGACCUAGCCAUGCCGCGUGAGUGAUGCAGCCCUUAGGGUUGUAAAGCUCUUUCAGCUGGGAAGAUAAUGACGGUACCAGCAGAAGAAGCCCCGGCUAACUCCGUG